GAUUGUGAGUAUAGAAGUGUAUUUUGAGCCCUUUUGCAGGUUGGGUAGGUCCUAGGUAUAGGGGAGACUUUGCCGGAUUUUCGGCACGACUUAGGACGUAUUGGUCUUUUUCUUUGUUUGUAUUGAGUCAGAUUUAUUAAAUGAUUAUAAUAAAAUUGUCAGGUGAGCCGGGACAGCCUUCUUCCUCCGCCCAGCCGCCACAGUGAUUGUCGUCAAGUCUGCCACAGGAGGAUAUUUUAUUCUGGGUUAACCUGCUUUUAUACUUCGCAGGUUGUUUAUCAAUAUUUGUGUAAUUUUAUUUACUCCUAGAAUUUCCGCAUGUGUUAGCAGUAUUUAUUUGAAUUUGGUCUGUAAUAUUAUUAUCAUGUUGGACCUGUAAACUUAAUAUUCUAUGUCUGUUUGAUGGAUUGGAUGAGGGAGCUGAGCUCCCAUUUCUUUUAUGAUGCUAUGAGUAUGUGGAGGGUGAGCUGAGCUCCCCAAUUGAGUA